rnacentral:rRNA from 1 species
AUUGAACGCUGGCGGCAUGCUUUACACAUGCAAGUCGGACGGCAGCGCGGGCUUCGGCCUGGCGGCGAGUGGCGAACGGGUGAGUAAUACAUCGGAACGUGCCCAGUAGUGGGGGAUAGCUCGGCGAAAGCCGGAUUAAUACCGCAUACGACCUGAGGGUGAAAGCGGGGGAUCUUCGGACCUCGCGCUAUUGGAGCGGCCGAUGGCAGAUUAGCUAGUUGGUGGGGUAAAGGCCUACCAAGGCGACGAUCUGUAGCUGGUCUGAGAGGACGACCAGCCACACUGGGACUGAGACACGGCCCAGACUCCUACGGGAGGCAGCAGUGGGGAAUUUUGGACAAUGGGCGAAAGCCUGAUCCAGCAAUGCCGCGUGUGUGAUGAAGGCCUUCGGGUUGUAAAGCACUUUUGGCGGGAAAGAAAAGGACUGUGCCAAUACCACGGUUCGAUGACGGUACCCGCAGAAUAAGCACCGGCUAACUACGUG